rnacentral:tRNA from 1 species
CAUUAGAUGGCUGAAAGCAAGCACUGGUCUCUUAAACCACCCCAUAGUAGCCUAUAGCACCUACUUCUAAUGA